GACGAACGCUGGCGGCGUGCUUAACACAUGCAAGUCGAACGAAGUGGCGAACGGGUGAGUAACGCGUAAUCAACCUGCCCUUCAGAGGGGGACAACAGUUGGAAACGACUGCUAAUACCACAUACUGAAGGCGGGGAUUGCGUGUGAUUAGCUAGUUGGAGGGGUAACGGCCCACCAAGGCGAUGAUCAGUAGCCGGUCUGGGGUGAGGAAUGGGCACAUUGGGACUGGGACACGGCCCAGACUCCUACGGGAGGCAGCAGUGGGGAAUCUUCCGCAAUGGACGAAAGUCUGACGGAGCAACGCCGCGUGAGUGAUGACGGCCUUCGGGUUGUAAAGCUCUGUUAAUCGGGACGCGGUACCGGAAUAGAAAGCCGCGGCUAACUACGUGCCAGCAGCCGCGGUAAUUC
rnacentral:rRNA from 1 species